UUCGGCCUCUAUAACUUUGAUAUAAACUUUGCCUCCAUACGAUAUUAGUAUGUUACAUUUUAGCUUUAAAAUAAGCAGGCAUCUCAAGCUAAGUGUUAGUAUAUGCAUUCUCUAAUGCAUAACAACACAAAAUUAUAACUUUUAUUGGAUUAAUUUACUAACAACAAAUAUAUAUCAUUUUCCAAACAUGUCAAAGGAGCAUUUAUGUCUAUAAAAUGCAAUAUCUAACUAACAAGAAUGCAAUGAGUUCACUAUAUCGGUGGUUAAGAGAAAUAUGACUAUAAACUGUUUUUUCCCUUGGCAGCUACAAUAAUUUACUUGAGG
rnacentral:lncRNA from 1 species